AUUGAACGCUGGCGGCAUGCCUUACACAUGCAAGUCGAACGGCAGCACGGGAGCUUGCUCCUGGUGGCGAGUGGCGAACGGGUGAGUAAUACAUCGGAACGUACCCUGAAGUGGGGGAUAACGUAGCGAAAGUUACGCUAAUACCGCAUAUUCUGUGAGCAGGAAAGAGGGGGAUCGCAAGACCUCUUGCUUUAGGAGCGGCCGAUGUCGGAUUAGCUAGUUGGUGAGGUAAAGGCUCACCAAGGCGACGAUCCGUAGCGGGUCUGAGAGGAUGAUCCGCCACACUGGGACUGAGACACGGCCCAGACUCCUACGGAGGCAGCAGUGGGGAAUUUUGGACAAUGGGACGCAAGCCUGAUCCAGCCAUGCCGCGUGAGUGAAGAAGGCUCGGUGUAAG
rnacentral:rRNA from 1 species